GCAAUAAGACAUAGAGCUACAAUUUUGCUUCUUUGAUCAGAAGCUAAAAACUAAGGAAAAUAGGACUUUAAGCUAGACCAAUCUAGCACACUAAAAUUGAAAAUUGGUAAUUACAUAAAAUGAUGCUUGAAGUGAUUUGGCAAUAAAUGCCAACUUGUGAAAAUGGUAAAUUGCAUUAUAUUGACAAUAUAUUGAAUUGUAAAUUGUGACAUGUUGAUGCUAGAAUCAACCUAUCCAUGAUACAUAAAAGGGUCAAUAAUUUUAUUGACCAGUGAAAGGCAUAAAGAUGUAUAAACCCUAUGAAUAAAGAAUUAAAUAUAUAACAUUGUAAUAUGCCCUAAUUUGCCUAGUUGACUACUUUGGAUAGAUUGGCAUGCCAAUAGGAUUCUGACAGCUGUUCUGUAAAUGACUUUACGUCAUACUGUGUUUUAUGGCUUAUUAUGCCAUACUAUGAUUUUAAUAGCCUAUGGCUAUAUAGAUUGUGUUAUUAUACUCGGCUUAAUGCCUGAUUGAUUAGAUGGCUUUUUAGCCACACUGUUUGCACACCGGGAGAUACUUUAUGACCGAUGGUGUGACGGCCCGAGAUACUUGGUACCUAGUGCCAGUUUACCCGUUUAUCCA
rnacentral:misc_RNA from 1 species